GUGUUACUCGGCAGCACAUAUACUAAAAUUGGAACGAUACAGAGAAGAUUAGCGUGGCCCCUGCGCAAGGAUGGCACGCAAAUUCGUAUCAUCCCAGUUGGU